rnacentral:rRNA from 1 species
UACGUAGGGUGCGAGCGUUAAUCGGAAUUACUGGGCGUAAAGCGUACGCAGGCGGCUAUGCAAGACAGGUGUGAAAUCCCCGGGCUUAACCUGGGAACUGCAUUUGUGACUGCAUAGCUAGAGUUUGUCUGAGGGGGGUGGAAUUCCACGUGUAGCAGUGAAAUGCGUAGAGAUGUGGAGGAACACCGAUGGCGAAGGCAGCCCCCUGGGACCUGACUGACGCUCAUGUACGAAAGCGUGGGGAGCAAACAGG